UGCAUCUAAGGAAAUCAGAUAUUGCCACAUCAAUGAAGAUUAAAAGAAGAAUGAACAAAAAAACAUAAAUAAGCGCAGAUUCUCAAGGAAGAAAAACAAUAAAAGCAAGCACUACACCUAUCCUGGAGACAAUGAACUGGCCUAGAGAUUAGAGACAAGGAUGAGGCAGGAACAGAGUCAUGUAUUCACAGCAGACAAAUGAUGCAUAGACGAUAAUUAAUUUGCUAGGCCUAUAUUCUUGCAGUUGUUUCAGCAAAAAAGGGAUGUUAAUUGGACUAAUAACCUCCAUUCCUGGUUAGCCAUAGGCCAUAGUAGCUAAUCACCCUUCUCCAGC
rnacentral:lncRNA from 1 species